CUGCGUGGAAGGGCCAUCGCUCAACGGAUAAAAGCUACCCUGGGGAUAACAGGCUUAUCUCCCCCAAGAGUCCACAUCGACGGGGAGGUUUGGCACCUCGAUGUCGGCUCAUCACAUCCUGGGGCUGUAGUAGGUCCCAAGGGUUGGGCUGUUCGCCCAUUAAAGUGGUACGCGAGCUGGGUUCAGAACGUCGUGAGACAGUUCGGUCCCUAUCCGUCGCAGGCGUAGGAAAGUUGAGAAGACCUGUCCUUAGUACGAGAGGACCGGGAUGGACGUACCUCUGGUGUACCAGUUGUCCUGCCAAGGGCAUGGCUGGGUAGCUAUGUACGGAAUGGAUAAGCGCUGAAAGCAUCUAAGCGCGAAGCCAACUUCAAGAUAAGAUUUCCCACCGCAAGGGUAAGACCCCAGAAAGACUAUCUGGUUGAUAGGUCGAAGGUGUAAGUGCAGCAAUGUAU
rnacentral:rRNA from 1 species